rnacentral:rRNA from 1 species
CCUACGGGGGGCUGCAGUGGGGAAUAUUGCACAAUGGGGGAAACCCUGAUGCAGCAACGCCGCGUGAGCGAUGAAGGCCUUCGGGUCGUAAAGCUCUGUCCUAAGGGAAGAAUACUGACGGUACCUUAGGAGGAAGCCCCGGCUAACUACGGGCCAGCAGCCGCGGUAAUACGUAGGGGGCUAGCGUUAUCCGGAAUUACUGGGCGUAAAGGGUGCGUAGGCGGCCCUUCAAGUCAGAGGUGAAAGGCUACGGCACAACCGUAGUAAGACUUUGGAACUGUAGGGCGUGAGUGCAGGAGAGGAGAGGCGAAUUCCCAGUGUAACGGUGAAAUGCGUAGAGAUUGGGAGUAACCCAAGUUGCGAAGGCGGCUCUCGGGACUGUAAAUGACGCUGAGGCACGAAAGCGUGGAAAGCCAACAGGAUUAGAUACACAAGUAGUC